AAAAAAAACACAAAAAAAA
rnacentral:sRNA from 1 species